AUGUAACUCGUACACUGCAGUUCCUGCGCGCCGCCCACGCCCACCCGACGGCUGCUCGCUAUGUUUUGUUGCC
rnacentral:sRNA from 18 species